GUGGAUAUAGUUUAAUCAAAACACUAGAUUGUGAUUCUGAAAAUAAGGGUUAAACCCCCUUUAUCAACC
rnacentral:tRNA from 1 species